rnacentral:rRNA from 1 species
CGAAGGGGGCUAGCGUUGCUCGGAAUCACUGGGCGUAAAGGGCGCGUAGGCGGAUCUUUAAGUCGGGGGUGAAAGCCCAGGGCUCAACCCUGGAAUUGCCUUCGAUACUGGAGAUCUUGAGACCGGAAGAGGUAAGUGGAACUGCGAGUGUAGAGGUGAAAUUCGUAGAUAUUCGCAAGAACACCAGUGGCGAAGGCGGCUUACUGGUCCGGUUCUGACGCUGAGGCGCGAAAGCGUGGGGAGCAAACAGGAUUAGAUACCCUGGUAGUCCACGCCGUAAACGAUGGAUGCUAGCUGUUGGCCGGCUUGCCGGUCAGUAGCGCAGCUAACGCUUUAAGCAUCCCGCCUGGGGAGUACGGUCGCAAGAUUA